rnacentral:lncRNA from 1 species
CUCCAAUUAACAAUUCGUAAUACUAUUCAAAUCAAACAAGCUGAAUACAUAUCUCUACUUAUCAACUUAAACAAACUGCACCUAUAUACAUCUAGAUUAACACAUGAUUACAAAUCUGAAAAGUCGACUCAUUCCGAUCUCAUUUGUGAUUACAUCAAUUGCUAAUUCGAGUGUGUACCUGAAUUGGAAAGUGAGAAGAAGGAGAGGUAAAUCAGCAGCAGCAGAUAGCAAAUAAACAGCAGUAGCAGCAUCAGUAACAACCAGCACAAUGUUAAUCACAGGCAGAAACAGGUGAAUCCGAAACACAGUGGAACAAUAGUUUCUGAUUUUCGAACACUCAAAGAAAGAAGCUUGAAGCUUCAAUGAAACAAUAACAGUUAGUGCUGAUUUCAACAAUGAAGGGAAAAGCAGAAAUUUCUCAGUUUUUUUUAGCUCUUAAAAUCUGAAAUCAAUUUUUCCUUUUACUUAGACUCUGAAAAAUUUCUUGGUGUUUAGACCUCUAUUGUCUUAGGUUCUAAGAAUCUGAAGAGGGUUUUCUUUUUGCCUCUUUUGUUUUGUUUUCUCUCUAGUUCAAAAAAUAGACCCCCUUAAGUUCUAAAGACUCUCCUUCUCCUCUCAAAACUCCCUCCCUUUUGUAUAUCACAACAGGCCUCCCUUUUAGCACUUGGUCCAUUAGAAAACUGAUUUUCUCCCAUGCGAUCCCUUCUGUUUUUCCACUCAAAGCUCAAAAGAAAAGUAUUCCCCAUCAGAUUUCCCUGACAUCCCUCUUUUCAUUAUUAAAAUGGUUUUCCUUUAUUAAACUAAACAAGUAUGGGCAGCAUGAAUAUGUCCUCACAGCACAUGUUGUCAAGUUAACUUUAAUUCAUUAAAGAAAUACAAUUCACAUGCUUUCUAAUGUCCAAAAUCUAAAAUGAAUAAACAAGGCCAGUAAUUAUAUCUAAAGUGCAUAAAACAGGGCUAUCAAUUCAAUAUCAAUCCAAACUAAACUCUGAAAUCUAUAUUAAAACUGCAGCUAUAACCAAUUCAAACUCCUAAAUUCUGGAUUGAAACUUCAGAACAAAAUCAACAUCAACAAACAAAAGAGCUUAGCAGAAACAUUGAAGCUGAAGCUAAAACUGAAACCAAAAUUCAUCAAUGCUUAACAGAAAACCCAAUAACAACAUUACCAUGAAUCAGAACACAAACCUAUUGAACUAUCCAGGUCAAACUUCCAGUCAACAGUGGCACAUUAUGGGAAUGAUUAAUUCACAAUUCCAAAUUAAGCUAAAUAGAGUAAAGGAAAUCCUGCGAUAUACUGAACUUAACGAAGAUUGAUAAAUAUCAAAAAACAAAGAAGCCACACAUCACAUAUAGGGGACAAUCUGAACCAAAGUCAUACAUUACUUAAACAACAAAAGAAAACUACUGAAAUGGACUAUGAAAUCAAAACUAGGAUUAAAACUAACUAUCAUGUUAAACUGACUCACACAUAACGAACUAAUAAACUGACCAAACAGUUUACAACAUAUAAACAAACAAUUAGAGAAACUGGACCCAAUAAACGGUCUGAUGAGAAGGAAAGAAGUACUGAACAAAUGCCCAGAAACAAAUCAAGACAAAGAUACAAUUUAAAAACAGACAAACAAAACUAUAGAAGGAAACAAAAGAAAUUAAGGAGAACUUACUAUUCUUUUCUUGGAUUUCAAUAGUAUGCCCUUUCGAACUUGAGUCCUAGUCAGUAUCAUACGUCUAUUUCGUGAGAAAUAGGCCUACAAUACUGAAUAGAAACCAAUCGACCUUGAAGCUUUAACACGUCUUGAACCGUUGAAAACCCUAGAUCCGUCAUUCAACGGGUUUUACUCAUGUUCGAGCCAAUUUGGUUAGGGAUUAAGGACGAGGAGGUAAAGGGGAUUUUUGGGUGUUAGUCUGGGGUCAAAGGGAUAGGCUAGGGCUUGGAGGGGAGAUCUUUGAUCGAAGAUUCUAGGAGAUCCAACGGGAUUCGAGGGAAUAUGUUGAUGGUUUAGGGAUGAGGGAAGCCUAGUGGUGGUGUGGUGUUAAUUAGGGGUGGAUUGGGGUGGUUUCAUGGUCAGCUCGAAACUUUGAUUGAAGAUUCGAGAAGAUGUGGGGUGAUUCGAGGCAAAUGGUUCAUGGAUUCGUGUUGUGGAUGGGGAGAUGGCUCAGGGGUGUCAUUUUGGUGGUCACCGGCGUUGUUGCCGCCGGGUUUAAUGGUGAGGGGGUGGAAGGGCGGCGCUAGUGUUCUAGGGGUUGUCUAGUCUCUGUGGGAGAGACGAAUGAAUGGGGGUAGUG